UACGUAGGUGGCAAGCGUUGUCCGGAAUUACUGGGCGUAAAGCGUGCGCAGGCGGUUCGCUAAGACCGAUGUGAAAUCCCCGGGCUUAACCUGGGAACUGCAUUGGUGACUGGCGGGCUAGAGUAUGGCAGAGGGGGGUAGAAUUCCACGUGUAGCAGUGAAAUGCGUAGAGAUGUGGAGGAAUACCGAUGGCGAAGGCAGCCCCCUGGGCCAAUACUGACGCUCAUGCACGAAAGCGUGGGGAGCAAACAGG
rnacentral:rRNA from 1 species